rnacentral:rRNA from 1 species
GACGAACGCUGGCGGCGUGCUUAACACAUGCAAGUCGAACGGAAAGGCCCUGCUUUUGUGGGGUGCUCGAGUGGCGAACGGGUGAGUAACACGUGAGUAACCUGCCCUUGACUUUGGGAUAACUUCAGUAAACUGGGGCUAAUACCGGAUAUGAGCUCCUUCUGCAUGGUGGGGGUUGGAAAGUUUCGGCGGUUGGGGACGGACGCGCGGCUUAUCAGCUUGUUGGUGGGGUAGUGGCUUACCAAGGCAUUGACGGGUAGCCGGACUGAGAGGGUGACCGGCCACAUUGGGACUCAGAUACGGCCAGGACUCCUACGGGAGGAAGCAGUGGGGGAUAGUGCACGAUGGGCGGCAGCCUGAUGCAGCAACGCCGCGUGCGGGAUGACGGCCUUCGGGUUGUAACCCGCUUUCGCCUGUGACGAAGCGUGAGUGACGGUAAUGGGUAAAGAAGCACCGGCUAACUACGUG